GAAGCUUACGUUAUCCAGUCUUUCAUACAAGAAGUGUGUAGGUAUUGCUGUGCUCCCUCUGCUGGCAUCGGCCCUUGUGAACUUGUGGCUUCAGACAAAUGAGUUGGGUACAGAAGAGGGACAGAUUCCAGUUUUCCAGUUGAUCACCUUCUACAGCGAAGAACCCUUGAGAUCAACACUGGGAGAAAGAAGAAAAGUAGCAAAGGAGUCGAUGUGUGAUGCAGGACAGGUCUGAGCCAAGGUGCAAAAGUGCUGGUGAAAGAGAGACUUGGCAAUAGAAACUGUCUAUUCAAGACUGGACAGAUAAAGCACAGGAGACACUAACAAGCACUCCCUGACAUCCUUUGCCGUUCAUCAGGAGGGAGCCUGCGUGGCGGAGGAAUGGCGGAACAUGAGCCGCGCAGCAGUGAUGAGAGAGACUGACGUUUGUACGAGUCUCUUCUGGCUCCUUCUCCACAAUGGCUGGUGCCUCUGCAUAUUCAUUGGAUGGUAAUGCAGGAUGUCGAGAGCAGCGGUAGAGUUUGGCUUGAUCCCAUUGUGUUUUUCUUCUGCCGUUUGAGACUUUGAAUCACCAUGACAACGCUGUGACACUUCCAGCAACAGUUGCCCGCAGACCAGGGGUGGGCUGGGGGUGGGUGAGAAGGUCAAUGAUUUGAGUCUAAAGGGAUCAAAAGUUGUGCCUGCAGCAAAGCGACUGUAGAAAAGCCGUCAGCACAAGAAGAUGAAAUUCCCCUUUUACUGGCUUCUCGUUAAGCAGGCACAAUAACAUUUUUUUUCGAGAGACUCGCUAUAAAAACUCUUUUGGUUAUGGCUACUGAUCCAACGUGAUUGGGUGCGCAGCGACUUUUGAACUCAUGACUGGAUAUACGAUGUUGCGGAAUGGGGGAGUGGGGAACGGAGGCCAGCCGUGGGUGUUGAGGUGGUCCAGUCGGAUCCGGCUCACCUGGCUUAGUUUCACCCUCUUCAUUAUCCUCGUUUUCUUUCCCCUCAUUGCUCACUACUACCUAACCACCAUCGAUGACGCGGACGAUGCCGGCAAGCGCAUCUUUGGCCCUCGGACCGGCAACGAGCUGUGCGAGGUAAAGCAUGUGCAAGACCUGUGCCGCAUCCGCGAGUCGGUCAGCGAGGAGCUGCUCCAGCUGGAGGCCAAGCGGCAGGAGCUCAACAGUGAGAUCGCCAAGCUCAACUUGAAGAUCGAGGCCUGCAAAAAGAGCAUUGAAAAUGCCAAGCAGGACCUGCUGCAGCUGAAGAAUGUCAUUAGCCAGACUGAGCAUUCCUACAAAGAGCUGAUGGCUCAGAACCAGCCCAAGCUUUCCUUGCCCAUCCGGCUCCUGCCAGACAAAGAUGAUGUGACCUUCCCCCUGCCUAAAUCCAACCGGAACUGCAGGCUACACAACUGCUUUGACUACUCACGCUGCCCGUUGACAUCUGGCUUUCCAGUCUAUGUCUAUAACAGUGACGAUUACCCUUUUGGUAGUUCCUUAGACCCUUUAAUUAAACAAGCCUUUGAGGCAACUGUCAGAACUAAUGUUUAUGUUACUGAAAAUGCAAAUAUUGCUUGUGUGUAUAUAAUUUUAGUGGGGGAAAUGCAAGAGCCCGUAAUGCCAAAACCUACUGAACUAGAGCAACAGUUGCACUCUUUGCCAUAUUGGAGGACUGAUGGGCAUAACCAUCUCAUCAUCAAUUUAUCAAGGAAAUCGGAAACUCAGAACUUCAUUUACAACAUCAGCACAGGGCGCGCCAUGAUUGCCCAGUCCACCUUUUACGAUGUGCAGUAUCGACCAGGGUUUGAUAUUGUGGUAUCGCCUCUGGUCCAUGCUAUGUCUGAACCUAACUUCCUAGAAAUCCCUCCCCAGGUGCCAGUCAAGCGUAAAUAUCUGUUUAGUUUCCAGGGGGAGAAGAUCGAGUCUCUCAGAUCUAGCUUGCAAGAGGUUCGCUCUUUUGAAGAGGAAAUAGAAGGCAAUGCCCCAGCUGACUACGACGAUCGGAUCAUCACCACCCUGAAGGCUGUUCAGGACAGCAAGUUGGACUUUGUUUUGGUGGAGUUCACGUGUAAGAACCAGCCUAAGACGAGUCUGCCCACUGAGUGGGCUCUGUGUGGAGAAAGGGAUGACAGACUAGAGCUACUGAAGCAAUCUACUUUUGCACUGAUAAUCACCCCAGGGGACACCCAUUUAGUGAUCUCUGCCGGGUGUGCCAUGAGACUGUUUGAGGCUCUGGAAGUUGGAGCCAUCCCAGUGGUUCUUGGAGAGCAAGUUCAGCUACCCUAUAAUGAUGUGAUCCGGUGGAACGAGGCAGCCUUAAUCAUACCAAAGCCACGUAUCACAGAAGUGCACUUUCUUCUGAGAAGCAUUUCUGACAACGAUCUCCUUGCCAUGAGGAGGCAGGGCCGCUUCUUGUGGGAGACCUACUUCUCCACCUCUGACAACGUGUUCAGCACAGUCUUAGCUAUCAUAAGGACUCGAAUCCAAAUCCCGGCUGCUCCUAUCCGAGAAGAAACCGCCGUGGAGAUUCCCCACCGGUCUGGAAAAGCUGCUGGUACAGACCCCAAUAUGGCAGACAAUGGUGACCUGGACUUGGGGCCUGUGGAGACAGAACCACCCUAUGCAUCUCCCAAAUAUCUCCGCAAUUUCACCCUCACUGCAAUGGACAUCUACAGGAAUUGGAAUUCUGCUCCGGGGCCUUUCCACCUCUUCCCCUACACUCCUUUUGACCCUGUUUUACCAUCAGAAGCAAAAUUUUUGGGGUCUGGGACUGGAUUUCGACCAAUUGGUGGAGGAGCAGGUGGCUCUGGGAAGGAGUUCCAGGCUGCUUUGGGUGGCAAUGUCCCCCGGGAGCAGUUCACAGUAGUGAUGUUGACUUAUGAGCGGGAGGAAGUAUUGAUGAACUCCCUAGAAAGGCUCAAUGGUCUGCCGUACUUAAAUAAAGUUGUGGUAGUAUGGAACUCUCCCAAGCUUCCCUCUGAGGAUCUCUUGUGGCCAGACAUUGGCGUCCCAAUCAUGCUCAUAGAUGCCUCCCCAAGCUCUGUGGGAUCGAUCAGCAAAGAUAUUGCAGCUCUCAAAUAGAAGACGGUGACUUAUUCCCAAGUUUGCCGGUGGGCUGGCGAUGGUGCAGCACAGCAGCCACAAUAUUACUCACCUCCUGGACAGUCUCUUACCCCUUUUCCCCACAGUGCCUGCCUGUAUCUGGUGAGGAAGCAGAUGCUGCUCUCCCUUAUCUAAUUGAUGGAUGCUUUUUCUUCAAUUUUCUUGAAAUUGAACUCUGCAGUUAGCGAUAAAGCAUGACGGAUCUCCCUGCCGUGCUGUGCAUAGGGAACACUCCAGUCUCCAAAAAGCAGCGCCUGGCUCCUUCCCGUGCUUCUGGAGGAGGAGGUUUAUCUCGCGUGAAAAGCCAUCGAUAAGCAGAAAGGUGAUGGAGUAGCUGGAUUCAGAACCAAGGGCUGCGGUUUGUUUUCCCGUUGUCUUGACUGCUGUAACCCUGGAUUAGGACCUGUUUCACUACAAGUACCCAGAAAGGAUGGAGUGGUUUUUUUCUUCAUGAUGGCAGCGAGGAGAUGGCAUUUUAGAGAGCAUAAGAGAUGUCUAGAGAAAAAGUAGUCAGUUUAAGUCACUUCCAUUUAAAGCCUUGAGUUAAUUAAUGAAAAUCUGUGUUACCCUGUGAAGAAAGGCGAGGAAUAUUUCCCUUCUCCUGAAACUGGCUCAAAGUUCGUAAGCCACAAGCUAAGGUCAUCUUGCUAAUAAGCCAGAGGGAAACUGAGGCACAGAGAACAGCAAGCCAUGGUCACUAAAGCGUGCACUUGUACAUCUCCUUAUACGCUCACAGAAAUACUGUAGAAAGCUGUUUUCACCUAUUCCCAGAUUUACUAGCAGCAGAAAGAUGGGAAAUCUGGUGAAGCUGUUCUUAGGCUUCACAGAUAAGGCUUUCAGAUCGAAAUAGUUUAGCAAAGUCUUCGGGUUUCUGACUGUUUAUCUGAAUUUUCUGAGGUUCGUGUAGGAAAGGGAAAUGGGUUUUGUUCUCGACAUUGAACGUUUGAAGCAUUCUGGGCAAGGAGGUUCAGUUUUCGCAACCUCAAUGUAAAGGGACUAAUCGUCACUUUGAUCUCCCAAGCUGCCUGGAGCCCGGGCUGGUGGAAACCUGCCUUAUCUCUGCAGUAAGGAACAGCCCUGUCUGUUACUGCGAAAGAAGAGAGCUAACAGAGCAAGAAAAGCACUUUUCUGGGGAAUAUAACAGCUGUAAGCUGGAUGAUUCUUUGCAAUAAGGCUCCUUUUCCUCUGUCUCUGAAUGCAGGUGACAAAGCAAAGCAAAUGGGUUUCAAAACACUGCUAAUAAUUAGGUUGAUUUUAUCCAAAAUUUAUAAAAGGAAUUGUUUUUAAUUAUGCCUUAUUUAUGUGAACUCUGUAAUUUCUAACAUAUACUGGUCCUUAAUUCCCAACCCAUACUGUGGAUUGUUGGAGGUGGUUGUGGUAGUCUGUAUUCAUCCCAACCAUGUGUUUGUCAGUAAUGUAUUAACUACCUCUUGGUGGAAGUGUUUGUCCCCCCCUUGAUUUUAUUUUACUUUCGAAUUGACUGGUUGUGAUACCUUAAGAGUUUAAAUAGAUCACUAAGUAGUAAAAGUCUCAGGGCGAGCCAAGCUUUGAAGAAUGCGACGUUGCCCACCGCAAAGCCCGUGGCUUGGAGAGUACGGGGAUGGUGCUCCUCUUCCUGCUGCCUUCUGCUCCUCUGGAUGGAAGCAGAGGAUGGGCUGCUGUGGGACAUGGACCAGAUGAAGUAGGAUCCAGCCAUGGGAUCCAGCAAUUAGGAUCCAGCAGUUGAAGCCUCCAAGCAAAGGGAAAAUCUUUGGAAACCCAUAUGAGGCUUCUGUCCUGGUUUGUCAUCUACUGGCUCUGCCGUGUCGAGUGAGAAGGCGUUUAUUGCUUGCUGAGGCUCUCAUAUGGCUGUUCCAGGCUCUUGUGUGGCGCUUCCAAGGAGGACAACAUACUGAGAUUGCACCUGGCCUGAGAUAUCUCCCGACACAUCUGUGGUGAGCACUCCACCUGCAUAGCGCAGCUGGGAAAGUGAGGCAGGGUCACUGAAAACUUUUGCCGAAAUAAGGUCAGGCUUUUCCAGUCGGUUCCUCUGUGAGCUGGUCGGGUGUUUCUUCUUCGUCAGGCUGCAUUACACAGCGCUUCUGUGAUUAGUUCAAGUACAGGAAUGGGAUAGUCCUGGCUGUGGGCUCUUUCCUCACCUGUUUUCACUCUGCUGCUCCAAAUUGCACAAGCUGCUCUGAAAACUUUGAAAUUAGCCCAAGCGGUGUGCAGCGGUCCUGGCUGCGGGUAUCGCUCUGAGCUUGUGCAUCUCUGCCCUGCGUGGUGCGGUGCCAGAUUUCCUACGAUCCCAGAAUCCCAGCAUGGCCGGGGCUGGCAGGGCCCUCCAGAGCUCACCCAGUGCCACC